CCCCUAAUGCAGCCAAAGGCAGUGACAAGCCUGCACAAAUGCAGAGUCGGGA
rnacentral:ribozyme from 2 species